UACGGAGGGUGCGAGCGUUGUCCGGAAUCACUGGGCGUAAAGGGCGCGUAGGCGGCUCGUGAAGUCAGAUGUGAAAGCCCCGGGCUCAACCUGGGAGGUGCGCUUGGUACUCGAGGGCUUGAGUGCGGGAGAGGAGAGUGGAAUUCCCAGUGUAGAGGUGAAAUUCGUAGAUAUUGGGAAGAACACCGGUGGCGAAGGCGGCUCUCUGGACCGUAACUGACGCUGAGGCGCGAAAGCGUGGGGAGCAAACAGG
rnacentral:rRNA from 1 species